UCUAGCGCAUGCUUGCCAAGUCACACAGAUCUGUAGUGUGACACAUGUCUUCCAUUUUGAAUCACAUGGCCACACACAUAACUCUCUUGUUCACUGUGCUUUUUUGCAGGUUCUCUCUCUCUUGGCUUAAAGUGCCUGAACCACACACUGUGUGUACUACUGUAUGGUGUCUUUCUUCUUCUUCUCAUCCCUAAAGUGUUUAUUGAUUUUAAGAAUGAAAACAACACAGAGAGCAUGCCCUAGAGGUUACACUGAUGCAAAUGAUUCCUCUGGUUUCCAAGGUACACUAAAAUCUUCAUCAGACAUUGCAGAGAAGAUUAAUUAGUCUAUAACAGGGCUGACAAACUCCUGACCCACAGGCCAGAUGCGUCAUGCAGUGGCCAGACCCACGCCCGGUUUAGCAAAAGGGAAAAAAGUCUUUAUACAUCACAUGACGCCGCCAUGACGAUCUAUAAUAAAGGCAAAAUGGACUUUGAAAAAGCAAAAAUGGACUUUAAAGAAACAGGAUAGGAAAGGUACUGACAUUUCUAAACUUUUAGUGUUGGAGAAGACUCUUGAGCAUGCCUUGGAUAGCCAAGAAAGCCACCCAAUGUAUCAUCAAACAAAUCAAUCCAGAGUUUUCACUCGAGGCACAAAUGAUGAGGUUUAAAUUAUUCUACUGUGGACAUGUUAUGCAAGGACUUAACUUGGAGAAAGCUCUAAUGCUCAGAAAGCUGGAAGAAAAGAGAAGAAGAGGACAAUCAGCAGCAAGAUGGAUGGACUCAGUUAUAGGGGUAAUGAAUGCACCAUUGAAAAGACCUGAAAUACCAGUGCUGGAUGGAGUCACUGAAGAGGUCAGUGUGAGCUUAAAUGGACUCCAGAGGAUGGUAGAGGACAGGAAGGCCUGGAGAAACGUUGUCCAUGGGGUUGUGAUGGAUUGGACACAACUUCAUAACUAACAACAACAACAUUAGAGGUGGAGAUCCUUUGAGAGCUGUAUGCAACAAAAUUUCAUUUUAAUAUAUGCUGAUUAGUAUACAUUCAAAGUGACAAUAAAGUUAGUCUAAGUGUAAGUUUC